rfam:Serratia fonticola strain DSM 4576, complete genome.
GGGUGCUCUGGAUCUUUCCGUCUGGAGCAUUUGGUAAAGGAUGGAAAGAGAAAAGCCCCGGACCGAUUUACAUCAAUCCGAGGCCGAUCUCACUCCUAAGCAAGGUGAGGUUAGCCUCUUAAAAUCCCAAAAUCAAGGGACAAGGAGGUUAAGAAUG